rnacentral:lncRNA from 1 species
CCCAGCCCUCGGCCUGGUCCCAGCCACCCCAAAAAGCUGGCCCUAUGGAAUCCUUGCCAAGUCUGGCUACUCGAGCCUUUCUCACUAGCCAUUCACUUUCGAGGACUCCUUUUAACAACAAGGCUCCUGCAAAAGCUUCUGUCGCCGGGGGCAAAGGGACUCGAGGGCCCAACUGCCAGAGGGGGAUGGACCUCUCUUGCUCUGGUACCAGGACUGUACGCUUUUAUGAUUGUAAAUAGCCUGUGUAAGAUUUUUAGUACCGCAGAGAGAAAACCAGAGCUCACUGCUCGUUGCUUCUGUUGGUGCUGGCGCGCCCCUCCCUUACGCGGGGUGGGGAGCGCUUGGGUUUGCACCGCCCGGAUCACUUUCCUGCUCCUCUGUCUGCUCCCUCCCUCCCCGUCCUUGCUGGGGUCCGGGCUCUUAAGGUACAGAACUCCACAAAGCUUGCAAGUCCGAGAGUGGAACCCCGCCCAUCCCAAGUCAGCCCUUGUCCGGGGCCAGAUUGCAAACGCCUGUCCCUUAGACUAUCCGAAGCUGAAAUUUUCACUGUCCAGAACCUUAACCCUAGCUUCGAGGAGGCCCACGGAUGUGGGCACUAGAAGCUGCAGCCUCCCUCGCUCUGGCCUCAAACACCCAGACACUCCCUUCUUCCACCUAAGUUGGUUAGAGGGUGAGUGGGAUAACCAAUGCCAAACUUUUUUUAAGUCUAAUUUUUGGUAGAUGAGUUCAUUUCAUUCUCCAGCGUCUAAAACCUGGUAUGGGUUUGCCCAGCGUCAUGGAAAGAUGUGGUUACUGAGAUUUGGGAAGAGGCAUGAAUCUUUGUGUGGGUUGGGAGAGACUGAAGAUGGGAGUUAUAAAAUGUUAAUUCUAAUUGCAUACGGAUGCCUGGCAACCUGCCUCUAGGAUUGACACAGCCUGCAUAAAGAUUUACCGUUCUGUAAAAUGGAAAUGUUAGGUCACCUGGAUAGCUUUGUUAAGGAGCUGAUCUUUGCUUUCCGUAACAGGACAGCAAAACGGUAAACUGAAUAUGAAAACUUGAAGGAGAUUUCAGUGUAAUGGACGUCCUCAAAAUGAAGUGCUACUUUCUUAUUUUCAAUCAAAUAAUAAUUAGACAUAUAUCAGAAACUUUAAAAUGUAAAACUUGUACACUUUCAACAUAUUAUUACGAUUAUUAUUCAACAACACAUUCUGAGGGAGAAACAAUCCACAUCACUAAUAAUAACCUGGUAAGAUUCCAGGCGGUAAAGGAGGUGGAAUAAUUGAUGGGAUUAGCUCCUGAAAUAAACAAAAUAUGGGCAUGCAUGCUAAAGGGAGAAUGUGUGCAGGUCUACUGCACUAAAUCCUGUGUGCUCCUUUUUGGAUUUACAGAAAUGUGUCAAAUGUAAAUCUUUCAAAGCCAUUUAAAAAUAUUCACUUUAGUUCUCUGUGAAAAAGAGGAGAAAAGCAAUCCUCC